GUGGCGGACGGGUGAGGAACGCGUGAGAACCUGCCUCAAGGUCGGGGACAACAGUUGGAAACGACUGCUAAUACCGGAUGAGCCUUCGGGUAAAAGAUUUAUCGCCUAGAGAGGGGCUCGCGUCUGAUUAGCUAGAUGGUGAGGUAAAGGCUUACCAUGGCAACGAUCAGUAGCUGGUCUGAGAGGAUGAGCAGCCACACUGGGACUGAGACACGGCCCAGACUCCUACGGGAGGCAGCAGUGGGGAAUUUUCCGCAAUGGGCGAAAGCCUGACGGAGCAAUACCGCGUGAGGGAGGAAGGCUCUUGGGUUGUAAACCUCAAAACUUAGGGAAGAAAAAAAUGACGGUACCUAAUGUAAGCAUCGGCUAACUCCGUGCCAGCAGCCGCGGUAAUACGGAGGAUGCAAGCGUUAUCCGGAAUCAUUGGGCGUAAAGAGUCCGUAGGUGGCACUUCAAGUCUGCUUUCAAAGACCGAAGCUCAACUUCGGAAAGGGAGUGGAAACUGAAGAGCUAGAGUAUAGUAGGGGUAGAGGGAAUUCCUAGUGUAGCGGUGAAAUGCGUAGAGAUUAGGAAGAACACCAGUGGCGAAGGCGCUCUACUGGGCAUAUACUGACACUGAGGGACGAAAGCUAGGGGAGCGAAAGGGAUUAGAUACCCCUGUAGUCCUA
rnacentral:rRNA from 1 species